GAGGGUCAGGGGUAACUUUAGGUUAAUUGAUCUUAAUUGAUUAAAAGACAACACCCAAAGCCUACAGAACAGGGAAGCAUGCCAGCACAGAGGCUGGGACUGGAGCCAGAGCUACAGGGGAGCUGAAAAGUUACUGUACACUUCAUCAAGAAAAAAGGAGAAUUGGGGAGAACUAGCUUUGAAAUCACCCUUGGGAUACUCUCUUGACAUUGGAAAAUGCGAACAAGGAAGGACACUUACACAAUGUUGACGCUCUCAAAUUUACCUUACAAAUAUGGUAACUGUCAUCUUUUGACAAUGGUGGUGGCACAGCAGUGACCAUGUUGAACAGGUUUGGAAGACUAUGAUAUUCCUUGUGCAGGAUCCUGUGUUCUGUGUUGAGCAGAAUUCAUCCGACAACUUUCCUCAGAGGCUGAUCUUCUUCUUCAGUGUCUGCCCACAGUGCAAGCAGGUUCCGUGUUUGGAGGAAGGUAUACAUGCUUUGAAUCUUGAGUGGAGUAACAAAAGUAGCCAUUUUGGUCUUAGAGAACAGAAUAAACACAUAGCCAAGAAGAGCAUCAAAGGAAACAAGACCAGAUUCUGUGUUGAAUUAGAAUGAGGACAAUGAAAUAGACAAGGAGCAGAUGGGGAAAGAAGUUGUAUCUGCAACUCAGGUGUGCUGCAAAGCUAUUGCAGUUACUGAAAAAUAUGCCAGCUGGAUAAGGCUUUUGGAACAUAGGCAGGAAUUUGUCCAUCAAAGAGGAAGACAAAAAUAAGUUAUGAAUUCCUAUUGCUAAGAGAACCUUCAAAGUUAUCCUCUCCCUAUCAUAUAAAAUGUAAUCAUUGUGAGCAUAAGCCAAGAGGACCUCAAAAUAUUCCCAUUAAUAGUUGAUUUAAGAGAAAUGAAAGGAUACUGGUGACACUUUUGACAGACAGAAAAUCACUUUGGCAAGUAAUUCUCUGGAUCCCUGGAUCCUUAGUGAACUAUUUGUAUGACCUGAUGAAAUGAGAGACUUAGAUCCCACUUGACCUCUGGACAUAAGUAUAAAUAUAAUUUACCUGUGGUUCUUUAUAAGUCAAUGCAAAUAUUUAUUAUUGUGACAAAGUCAGCCCAGGGACUGCUUGCUUUGGACUACUGUGGUAUUGCCUGGUCUCCGAGAGUAUCCCCUGAAGCCAGCUCAAGUUUGGCUUCUAAAGCAGGGGAGGAGCUCGGGCUCCUUCCCACUCUGGUUAUCUGUCACCCUGACACAAGUUGCUAGGUUCCAGUUCAUCUCCUGAGAGAGGGACUAUAUUCUUGUUGGGAAGAACUAGUGCAACCUCAAAUUUCAAGCAGCAAAAUAGACAGUUCCUCUUUAACAAAAACAUUUAUUGGGGCAAAAGCCACAGAGUAAAAAGACCCUACCUUUUCCAAAGGGCUAAACAGUUCCUCUGUCCCCAAUCCAACUUGCACAGCUGUCCUUACUUAAGACCAUCUCAUCAGGAGAUGACAGACUUAUCAUCCAGCAGCAAAAAUUCGGGUCUGUGUCUGUGUCAGUGAGGCCAUGUCGUCUGGUCCAGUGUUAAGUAGGUCACCAUGCGAACUCCAGAUAACUGUACCCUGUUAAGGAUGAUGUAAGGCAUCUCGGAAGUGUGUUGGGUGCAGAUAUUGAGAUGUGUGCAGAGCAUGGGUAAGAGCCGUGUGCACACCUCAGAUAAAGGGGGGGGUGUGGGUGGAGUUUGGUGUGUGUCUCGGGUGUGUUCAGUGUGUCAGUGGAUUGACAGAGUGUUGUGGCUGGGAUUGAGGGUUGAGAGAGAGUUGAGAGAGAGAAAGAACUAGUGAGAAGGUGUGUGAGGUCAUGGCCCCAGACACUUGGAUUGGUUGGAGUGAGAGAGAAAGAGAUUAAGCAGUAGAGGGUUGGAGUGGGCAGUGAUCCAUGGAGGUGUGCUGCCUGGAACACGCCAGUGACUUGAGGGUCUCCAGCAUUCACUCCCCAUCCUGCAGGAGUGGAGGCAAAUAGGGUUGGCUCCUUGGAACCUAUCUCCCUCCGGGUGCAUGUCUCUGACACCUGCAGCAGCCCUUUUGCCUUUCCUUGUGUAAGUAUUACCCAGCCAGUCCUACACUCUCUCUCUCUCUUUCUCCUCUGGCAUCAGUGGAAGGUAAGCCACUGCCAGAGUGGCUCUGAGGCAGGCAGCCAGUUGAGGACUAACGGCAGCGGCCAGAGUACAUUCAAAUACUCCCAGUUCUCCCCUUAAUAAAGUUCAACCCACCUGUCCUUGUUGGUUUAUUGGUAGUAGUGUGUUUAUUAAUAUUUAGGACAGUUAUAGGAUCCAGGGUAGUAAUUAGUCCCUUAAGGACACUGGUCAGAGAUUGAAGUGGUAUACUUGUUACUUGUUACUGUUACGUACCUGUUGUUCAUUAAUUAAUAAA